ACGAACGCUGGCGGCAUGCCUAACACAUGCAAGUCGAACGAAGCCUUCGGGCUUAGUGGCGCACGGGUGCGUAACGCGUGGGAAUCUGCCCUUGGGUUCGGAAUAACAGUUAGAAAUGACUGCUAAUACCGGAUGAUGUCUUCGGACCAAAGAUUUAUCGCCCAAGGAUGAGCCCGCGUAGGAUUAGGUAGUUGGUGGGGUAAAGGCCUACCAAGCCGACGAUCCUUAGCUGGUCUGAGAGGAUGAUCAGCCACACUGGGACUGAGACACGGCCCAGACUCCUACGGGAGGCAGCAGUGGGGAAUAUUGGACAAUGGGGGCAACCCUGAUCCAGCAAUGCCGCGUGGGUGAUGAAGGCCUUCGGGUUGUAAAGCCCUUUCGGCGGGGACGAUGAUGACGGUACCCGCAGAAGAAGCCCCGGCUAACUUCGU
rnacentral:rRNA from 1 species